rnacentral:rRNA from 1 species
GAUGAACGCUGGCGGCGUGCUUAACACAUGCAAGUCGAACGGAAAGGCCCAAGCUUGCUUGGGUACUCGAGUGGCGAACGGGUGAGUAACACGUGGGUGAUCUGCCCUGCACUUCGGGAUAAGCCUGGGAAACUGGGUCUAAUACCGGAUAGGACCACUUCUUGGAUGUUGUGGUGGAAAGUUUUUUCGGUGUGGGAUGAGCUCGCGGCCUAUCAGCUUGUUGGUGGGGUAAUGGCCUACCAAGGCGUCGACGGGUAGCCGGCCUGAGAGGGUGUACGGCCUCAUUGGGACUGAGAUACGGCCCAGACUCCUACGGGAGGCAGCAGUGGGGAAUAUUGCACAAUGGGCGCAAGCCUGAUGCAGCGACGCCGCGUGGGGGAUGACGGCCUUCGGGUUGUAAACUCCUUUCGCUAGGGACGAAGCGUUUUGUGACGGUACCUGGAGAAGAAGCACCGGCUAACUACGUG